GUGGGGAAUCUUGCGCAAUGGGCGAAAGCCUGACGCAGCCAUGCCGCGUGAAUGAUGAAGGUCUUAGGAUUGUAAAAUUCUUUCACCGGGGACGAUAAUGACGGUACCCGGAGAAGAAGCUCCGGCUAACUUCGUGCCAGCAGCCGCGGUAAUACGAAGGGGGCUAGCGUUGCUCGGAAUUACUGGGCGCAAAGGGCGCGUAGGCGGACAGCUUAGUCAGAGGUGAAAGCCCAGGGCUCAACCUUGGAAUUGCCUUUGAUACUGGCUGUCUUGAGUUUGGGAGAGGUGAGUGGAACUCCGAGUGUAGAGGUGAAAUUCGUAGAUAUUCGGAAGAACACCAGUGGCGAAGGCGACUCACUGGCCCAAUACUGACGCUGAGGCGCGAAAGCGUGGGGAGCAAACAGGAUUAGAUACCCCGGUAGUCC
rnacentral:rRNA from 1 species